CCUACGGGUGGCUGCAGUGAGGAAUAUUGGUCAAUGGGCGCGAGCCUGAACCAGCCAAGUAGCGUGAAGGAUGACUGCCCUACGGGUUGUAAACUUCUUUUGUCGGGGAGCAAAAGACGCCACGCGUGGCGUUCCGAGAGUACCCGAAGAAAAAGCAUCGGCUAACUCCGUGCCAGCAGCCGCGGUAAUACGGAGGAUGCGAGCGUUAUCCGGAUUUAUUGGGUUUAAAGGGUGCGCAGGCGGAAGAUCAAGUCAGCGGUAAAAUUGAGAGGCUCAACCUCUUCGAGCCGUUGAAACUGGUUUUCUGGAGUGAGCGAGAAGUAGGCGGAAUGCGUGGUGUAGCGGUGAAAUGCAUAGAUAUGACGCAGAACUCCGAUUGCGAAGGCAGCAUACCGGCGCUCAACUGACGCUCAUGCACGAAAGUGUGGGUAUCGAACAGGAUUAGAUACCCCUGUGGU
rnacentral:rRNA from 1 species